rnacentral:tRNA from 1 species
GCCACCGUAACUCAGUUGGCUAGAGUAGGGGUUUUGUAAACCUCAAGUCGUCAGUUCGAAUCUGACCGGUGGCUCCA